rnacentral:lncRNA from 10 species
UGGGAUUACAGGCAUGAGCCACCGCACCCAGCCUGCACCCUUAAAUUUUAUAUCACCUAAAAUCUGUCCAUUUUCAAUUUUGCCAUUUAUCCCAAGAAAGUCUUUUGAUGCUUUUCUUUUUAAACCAAGAUACAGUCUAGCUUUAUGCAUUGCAUUUGGUUAUUAUGUCUAUUUGGUUUCCUUUAGUUUGGAACAGUGCCUCUCACUUUUUUUUUUUUUCUCGUGAGAAUGACUUUUUGAAGGGCUCAAGCCAAUUAGUUGGUAGACAGUUCUAUGUUUUUAAUCUUCCUAGAAGCUGGAAGUUAGGUCUAGAAACUUGAUUAGGUUGAAGUUAAAUAUUUUUCUCAAGAAUGUAUCAGUUUAUUUUGGGUACAUCAUAUCACACUAGGAAGCAAACAGGAAGCACACAGAGGAGGAGACUUAUGCAGUCAUCAGAAAAAACAUGAGGAAUUCUUAUGAAAAUACUGAGUGUUCAAUCGAGAAGAGAAAGGUGUCAUUUAAGGUCUGGCUGUAUUUAUUGAUACGAAUGCACCUACCACAGAUUUUGGAUUUCAUGUCCUAUGUUUAGCAGCUGGGCAUGUUUUUCAUAGGGAAAGCUGAACAUAAUAUUGGCCUAUCUAUUCUAAAAGCUGAGAUGACAGAAAUGCCUUUGUGUAAUGUGGAGAAAGGAAUUUAAGAAGAAUUCUGGAACAAAUUACCAAAUAUGUUAUCCCUUUUCCCAACCCAUCCCUGCCUGGCAGGAUCCUGAAGACAUUCCCUUUACCAAAGUCUUGAAGCAUACUUUAUUCACAAGAGUACUGGGAGCAUUACAACAUGACUUAGUAGUUCAUAAAAUGUUGGUGAAGUGUAUUUCCUUGUCUCUUUUUUUUUGAGACAGAGUCUCACUCUGUCUCAGUCUGUCACCCAGACUGAAGUGCAGUAACUCACUGCACCCUCAAACUCCUGAGGCUUAAGGGAUCCUCCUGCCUCAGUCUCCCAAGUAGCUGGGACUACAGGUGUGGGACUACAUGCCCAUGCCCACGUAUUUCCUAUUUUCAGUGUAAUUGUAAUGAUUCCAGCAGUAGCCUUUAACGAUGACCCCCCAUGCAAUUUAUGGUAUUCAAAAUGGAUACCAAGAUCUUUGCAGGUGGUUAAUUGGAGAUAGGGUCCUAGAUAAAUGGCAGAUCACUGAAGCCCUACUUGAUCUGUAUAGCCAAAAAUUUCUCCAGGUUUGGAGGCAGAUAUCAAGACAGAAAUGCAGCUCUGGAUUCUCUUGCUAGACUUAAGCUAGUUUACAGAUUCAGAGCCUAUUCAAUAAUGGAGAGGCCAUGUAUCCUGAGGAAGGAGCUUGUAAAAGUGCUGCCAGUACAGAAUGUGUAUCAUUACCAUUUUAUGGAUAAAUGUGUAUUACCAUUUUGUCUGGAUAACUGUACACUAGGGAAACUACACAAACACUUGGGCAACAAGUGGAUACUAGCUGUUAGUUAUUACUAAUUCCCAGAUACCCACAAUGUCAUUGUCCACUUCUCAGAGUUCAUAUGGGGACCAGGUAAUGAUGGAGUUUUGUUUUGUUUUAUCCGUCUGUUUGUUUGUUUUGAGACGGAGUCUCGCACCAUCGCCCAAGCUAGAGUGCAGUGGUGCAUUCUUGGCUCACUGCAGUCUCUGCCUCCCAGGUUCAAGUGAUUCUCCUGCCUCAACCUCCCCAGUAGCUAGGAUUACAAGUGUGCGCCACCACGCCUGGCU